UGCAUCUGUCAUAGUUUGGGUACCAGAUUGUAUUUAGAGAAUGGCUCUUGCCACUGUUAUGUACACACAGAUCGUGUGUGUAAACAAGCAAAUUAAAGUAAACUGAGAUAAUGAAAUCCCAUAUUUCAGCAUUUCCUUAAAGGACUGUGAGUGGAGAUCAUAGAUACUCCCUGCUAUAACAUAAAGAGCACUCGGUGCUGUGGUUUGAAUAUAUUUUCCAAAGUUCAUGUCUUGGAAACUUUAAUCCCCAAUGCAACAGCAUUGAGGUGGGACCAUUAAGAGGUAAUCAGGUUAUGAGGCCUCUGGCCUCAUGAAUGGGUUAAUGCCAGUAUUUGGGGAGUGGGUUUGUUACCAUGAGAGGAGCAUCUUUAUAAAGGAUGA
rnacentral:lncRNA from 1 species